rnacentral:rRNA from 1 species
GUGUCAGCAGCCGCGGUAAUACGGGGGGGGCAAGCGUUGUUCGGAAUUACUGGGCGUAAAGGGCUCGUAGGCGGCCCUCUCAGUCGGAUGUGAAAUCCCCAGGCUUAACCUGGGAACGGCAUCCGAUACUGGAGGGCUUGAAUUCGGGAGAGGGAUGCAGAAUUCCAGGUGUAGCGGUGAAAUGCGUAGAUAUCUGGAGGAAUACCGGUGGCGAAGGCGGCAUCCUGGACCGAGAUUGACGCUGAGGAGCGAAAGCUAGGGGAGCAAACGGGAUUAGAUACCCCGGUAGUCC